AGAGUUUGACCUGGCUCAGAUUGAACGCUGGCGGCGUGCCUAACACAUGCAAGUCGAACGGGGAUUUUGUUUCGGCAGAAUCCUAGUGGCGAACGGGUGAGUAACGCGUAGGCAACCUGCCCUCCGGCCGGGGACAACACUCCGAAAGGGGUGCUAAUACCGGAUACGAAGUCUGUGCCGCAUGGUACGGAUUUGAAAGAUGGCCUCUAUUUAUAAGCUAUCGCCGGGGGAUGGGCCUGCGUCCGAUUAGCUGGUUGGUGGGGUAACGGCCUACCAAGGCGACGAUCGGUAGCCGGUCUGAGAGGAUGAACGGCCACAUUGGGACUGAGACACGGCCCAGACUCCUACGGGAGGCAGCAGUGGGGAAUCUUCCGCAAUGGGGGAAACCCUGAUGCAGCGACGCCGCGUGAGUGAAGAAGUAUUUCGGUAUGUAAAGCUCUAUCAGCAGGGAAGAAAAUGACGGUACCUGACUAAGAAGCUCCGGCUAAAUACGUGCCAGCAGCCGCGGU
rnacentral:rRNA from 1 species